rnacentral:rRNA from 1 species
GUGCCAGCAGCCGCGGUAAUACGUAGGGUGCAAGCGUUAAUCGGAAUUACUGGGCGUAAAGCGUGCGCAGGCGGUUUUGUAAGUCUGUCGUGAAAGCCCCGGGCUUAACCUGGGAAUUGCGAUGGAGACUGCAAGGCUUGAAUCUGGCAGAGGGGGGUAGAAUUCCACGUGUAGCAGUGAAAUGCGUAGAGAUGUGGAGGAACACCGAUGGCGAAGGCAGCCCCCUGGGUCAAGAUUGACGCUCAUGCACGAAAGCGUGGGGAGC